rnacentral:rRNA from 1 species
CACGUAGGGCGCGAGCGUUGUCCGGAAUUAUUGGGCGUAAAGAGCUCGUAGGCGGCCUGUUGCGUCCGCUGUGAAAGCCCGGGGCUUAACCCCGGGUCGGCAGUGGAUACGGGCAGGCUAGAGGUAGGUAGGGGAGAAUGGAAUUCCCGGUGUAGCGGUGAAAUGCGCAGAUAUCAGGAGGAACACCGGUGGCGAAGGCGGUUCUCUGGGCCUUACCUGACGCUGAGGAGCGAAAGCGUGGGGAGCAAACAGG